rnacentral:rRNA from 1 species
UACGUAGGGGGCUAGCAUUGUCCGGAAUCAUUGGGCGUAAAGAGCGUGUAGGCGGCCCGGUAAGUCCGCUGUAAAAGUCAAAGGCUCAACCCUGGGAUGCCGGUGGAUACUGUCGGACUAGAGUACGGAAGAGGCGAGUGGAAUUCCCGGUGUAGCGGUGAAAUGCGCAGAUAUCGGGAGGAACACCAAUUGCGAAGGCAGCUCGCUGGGACGUCACUGACGCUGAGACGCGAAAGCGUGGGGAGCAAACAGG